AGCAGCAGCCACGGUAAUACGAAGGGGGCUAGCGUUGCUCGGAAUGACUGGGCGUAAAUGGCGCGUAGGCGGAUGGCACAGUCAGAUGUGAAAUUCCCGGGCUUAACCUGGGGGCUGCAUUUGAUACGUGUUGUCUAGAGUGAGGAAGAGGGUCGUGGAAUUCCCAGUGUAGAGGUGAAAUUCGUAGAUAUUGGGAAGAACACCGGUGGCGAAGGCGGCGACCUGGUCCUUUACUGACGCUGAGGCGCGAAAGCGUGGGGAGCAAACAGGAUUAGAUACCCCCGUAGUCCCUGUCUCUUAUAC
rnacentral:rRNA from 1 species